UCCCAGAUAGCUAGUUGGUAAAGAAUCCACCUGCAAUGCAGGAGACCUUGGUUCGAUCCCUGGUUUGGGAA
rnacentral:tRNA from 1 species